AGACUUUAGACAGAGAAAAGCGCUCCACACACCCCACUCUCCUUCUGCCAUCUCUCACCCCCUCCUCUGUCCACACAGGUCAGCCCAAGGCCACCCCCUCGGUCACUCUGUUCCCGCCAUCCUCUGAGGAGCUCCAAGCCAACAAGGCCACACUGCUGUGUCUCAUGAGUGACUUCUAUCCGGGAAUCUUGACGGUGACCUGGAAGGCAGAUGGUACCCCCAUCACCCAGGGCGUGGAGAUGACCACGCCCUCCAAACAGAGCAACAACAAGUACGCGGCCAGCAGCUACCUGAGCCUGACGCCCGAGCAGUGGAGGUCCCGCAGAAGCUACAGCUGCCAGGUCACGCAUGAAGGGAGCACCGUGGAGAAGACACUGGACCCUGCAGAAUGUUCGUAGGUUCCCAACCCUCACCCACCCACAGGGGCCUGGAGCUGCAGGAUCCCAGGGGAGGCGUCUCUGCAUCCCAAGCCAGCCAGCCCUUCUCCUUGUACCCAGUAAACCCUCAAUAAAUAUCCUCACGGUCAACCAGAAA